rnacentral:rRNA from 1 species
GUACACUCCUACGGGAGGCAGCAGUGGGGAAUUUUGGACAAUGGGCGAAAGCCUGAUCCAGCAAUGCCGCGUGAGUGAAGAAGGCCUUCGGGUUGUAAAGCUCUUUUGUCAGGGAAGAAACGGUGAAAGCUAAUAUCUUUUGCUAAUGACGGUACCUGAAGAAUAAGCACCGGCUAACUACGUGCCAGCAGCCGCGGUAAUACGUAGGGUGCAAGCGUUAAUCGGAAUUACUGGGCGUAAAGCGUGCGCAGGCGGUUUUGUAAGUCUGAUGUGAAAUCCCCGGGCUCAACCUGGGAAUUGCAUUGGAGAAUGCAAGGCUAGAAUCUGGCAGAGGGGGGUAGAAUUCCACGUGUAGCAGUGAAAUGCGUAGAUAUGUGGAGGAACACCGAUGGCGAAGGCAGCCCCCUGGGUCAAGAUUGACGCUCAUGCACGAAAGCGUGGGGAGCAAACAGGAUUAGAAACCCUUGUAGUCCCAUGAU